GACGAACGCUGGCGGCGUGCUUAACACAUGCAAGUCGAACGAUGAAGCCGGAGCUUGCUCUGGUGAAUUAGUGGCGAACGGGUGAGUAACACGUGAGUAACCUGCCCUUGACUCUGGGAUAACUGCUAGAAAUGGUAGCUAAUACCGGAUACGACCCUCGGAGGCAUCUCCAGGGGGUGGAAAGAAUUUCGGUCAAGGAUGGACUCGCGGCCUAUCAGCUAGUUGGUGAGGUAAUGGCUCACCAAGGCGACGACGGGUAGCCGGCCUGAGAGGGGGACCGGCCACACGGGGACUGAGACACGGCCCAGACUCCUACGGGAGGCAGCAGUGGGGAAUAUUGCACAAUGGGCGCAAGCCUGAUGCAGCAACGCCGCGUGAGGGAUGACGGCCUUCGGGUUGUAAACCUCUUUUAGUAGGGAAGAAGCGAAAGUGACGGUACCUGCAGAAAAAGCACCGGCUAACUACGUGCCAGCAGCCGCCGUAA
rnacentral:rRNA from 1 species